CACAUUUUUGACACAUUCAGCCCUAUGCAGUAAGUACAUUGACAUUAAGUCAAGCUUGAAAUGACGUCAUAAGAUUGACAUAUGAAAGACAUUUCAAUAAAUAUGGCGGAUUGGUAUGCAGAAUAGCACUGUACUCAAUUUAUUGAAAUUUUCCUAUUUCAAUAUAUUGAAAUCAGGUCAAUUGACAUAUAGUUCGUAUGCUCUAAGACAAAUCCUUGAAGUAUUCCUAUCUCAACAUUGAAAAAAGUCAAUAAUUAUAUAGUCUUGAAAAACUUUGCCCGUUAAGGAACUAAAAUAAAGUCAAGAAUAUUUCGUAACUGAAAUUUGUGUAGUAUAGCAACUGUUGAGUUUUGUUUGAGCCAAAUUAACUCAAAAUAUAAUUAAACUUGCGUGGUUUUUACAUCAAUUAAUCCUUUUCGUUAGUGAACUGUGACAUCUGAGGUUGUGUAAUCAAAAUGGAACUAGUUUUUAUUAUUGACGUACUUGAAAACGAAAUUGUCAGGUAAGACACAAGACUGAACUAAUAAAGAACAUGAAAAUAAUGCUUUUAACAGACGCCAAUUGAAUCUACAACGUCGACAAUUGAGAGAUCAUAGUGAUCCUUUAACUUUGCCUGAAAUUACUUUGGUUUGUUUCGCAUAUCAAGGCAGCUAGCUCAAUGGGUACUUGAUCAAAUUCUUCCACAUAUGAGGGAUUCAGCACGCACAACAGCCAUCCCUAAAGGUCUUAGGUUUUUUGCUGCAUUACACUUUUUAAGUCAUGGAUCAUAUCAAAGAGGGGUAGGUCAAGAUUACCUGACAAGCAUGCAUCAAACUUCAGUAAGCAGAUGUCUUACAGAAGUAACUGACAUUUUAGUACAAGUAUUAGGCCACCUCAUAAAGUUCCCGGAAACUGAAGUGGAGAAAAACCAGGAAAAACAACGUUUUGUAGAUAGUGGUGGAUUUCCAGGAAUAAUUGGAUGUAUUGACUGUACACAAGUUGCUAUCAUAGCCCCAAAAACAGAAGACCCAGAAAUGCCCGGUGUUGUAUUUUACUGUCGAAAACAAUACUAUAGCU